GCGGGGUGAUAGUGACCGCACCUGGUUACGCGCACCCCCCACGUCCCGCCCCCCCCCAGGCGGACUACAUAUCCCAGAGAGCACUGCGGCACGUUCCCGCGCAGGGAGGAGGUGGCCGCGCGGCGAGAGGUGCUUGACAGAACAAAUACACUCUUCCAAUAGCUUCCUUGGUCAAGAUUAAUCAUAACUGAGGAGAACAUGUGAGAAUGAAUCAGUAAUACCGUAACUGUGCAGAGAUUAUACAUGGAGCAUGCAUAUUGGCUGGAGGACGCAUAUAGCUUGAAACAGGAAUAGAGUAACAAGAUACGGGAUCCUCUGAGGAAGAACAGCAUGCACCAAAGCAAGAGCAGCAUGCAGCUCAGCAUCCGGAGCAGCAGGCAGGUUUGUGUACUGGGUGGUGCUGAGAACUGAGCAAUGAAAGGUGGUCAUCCCAAAUAAAACUGCAUUGUUUAUGUGUAUGGUGAGCUUAACUCACCUACCCUCCCUAAGAGCAAUGUCACCUCACUCUGUGUAAGACUCUUGUCCCUGUGAUGAUUAUGCUUAACUGUACUCACAUUGUGUGAUUUACCUACGGCUGUGCAUGGCACAAAUCAGUGAUGGUAUUGGGAAUAAGUGUCAGUAUAUAGCUCAAAUGAGAAAAUAUUUCCAAGUACUACCAUCUCUUAAAACAACACAAAUAUAUGGGGGCUAUUAUACAUUUAUACAUAGGGGAGUUUCAUAUUCUCCAGCUUAGGGCAAUCUGGAAGAUACAGAACUAAGCUAAGCUCUUCCUAUGGUUAAUGAAGUUAUACUUAACUGAAGCUUUCUAGCUAGUGAAGAUGAUGUAGCACCUGUAGCUGCCUCCUGGCAGCUCAUCUAGUCCUAAAAUACAUAUUUGAAAUGAGGGAAAAGAGAAACCUCUGGAGAUCAUUCUCUGUCUCUGUCUUCACUGACAAUAGAAGGUGCUUCCAUAACUGGCUUAGACUAGGUGACUAACUUUUAUAAGCUGAAAAUAAAUUAGAUAAAUCUCAUUUUCUUAAACUAUUCUGAGGAUAUCAGCAAUUUCCAGUCAAUAAAUUCACUCCCUUUCACUAGAUUUUAUUAAGCCUAUUCAUAUUAGUUCAGGAAAGGUAGAAAUACUUAACUAGCAAUAUUAAUAACUCAUUGGAAUUAACAAGAAAAUUCUCUUGCAAUCCUCAGAGAAUAAAAUUUUGAAUAAUCAUACUGUUAAGAUAAUCUGCACAUCUUUGACAAUAGUUUUUGAUAGUCUGAAAAUUGAAGACAGAUUUAUUUUUUUUUCCUCCAGAAGGUAAUUAAUGUUCCCCUUACUUCUUUUGCUGAAAUCUGUCAUCAUUACGGACAUGAAGCUGCUUUAAAAACUUCAGGAAAUGAUAAGUUACAAAUAUACUGUCCCAUUGGAUGGACUUAACUUGCAUGGUGAUUAAGGAUGAAUGCUGCUACUAACCCAAGUUUUCUAGCACAUUUUCUCGGCAAAAUGUACUCCAUCUUUCUCUUUUCAUCUUUCUCUCACCACCCCCUUCUUUCUGUUAAAAUAUACUGAUUUAAUCACUAUUAAAACUUCAACCUUGUGUCCUUUUGAAAUAUGAAAAAAAAUGAACUCUCUCUCUACUCAGUGCCAUCAUGGAUUUGUUAGGUUUCUAAAUGCGUACCUUUGUGCAUUCUCCCCAGAUACCAUUAACUAUAUGAGGAAGUCAUCUGUAGGCACCAGCAAGAAAUUUCAUUAUUCCUUUUAAAAUCUUUCUUUAAAAUUCUCCUUUACCAGUAUGCCAACAAAAAUGUAGAUUUUAAUUGCAAGCCUCUCUCACUGAUAGAUCUUGCUUCUGAUCUGUUCACUAUCUCCUUCUACAAAGAGACAUCAAGGUUUCAGGGGAAAUUGCCUUGUUUUUGUUCAAAAUGCUUUCAGCUCAAGGACCCUGGCAUUUUACAAUAAUAAACACCAUGAUUAAUGCAAAGAUUGAUAUUUGCAUUAUAUGCAAAAGCUAGAAAACCUAAACUCUAUUUGAUUUCUAGAUGUUCCCUUUGAGUUUCUGCUGCAUUUACUUGGGAAAAUUCACCGGAACAGAUACAUCAGAAUAAAACAUAGCUGCUUGCUAAACUUAAUGUUCCAGUCACUAAGUGCAUGUUGUAAUUUGCCAGUGUUCACCAUAUGUACUAAAUAAUCCAUAUUUUAUAGUUGACAUUGUUCAAUAAAGCUUUCAGACUUUUGUGUUAUUUUUAACUUCAAACUAUACAUGUGCCUGGCUUGUGAGAGGAGCUGGGGAAGGGUAUAAUUACCCAUUUAUGUUUUAGCUGGAAACAGGAAAACUUGGCCUGAAAAUCUGGAACUGAAAUUUGUCUUUGUACAACUGUUUCUUUUACACUGGGAGGUUAUGCAAGCUAUAUUCAUUCAGAUCAGUCUUUGUUAUGUAAAUCACAAUUUUGCAAUCACUUAGGAAUUGUAUCACAUUAAUCUAUGGUGACAGUGUUCAACAGAGUCUAGUAAGUUGUUUGAUUUUACCCUUUGUAAAUGACAGCCCCUGAUUUCCUGUAAUAUUUCGGUUCUGGGGCAAAACCUUGUUUCACUCAGUACAUAUUAGCUGGACAGAUACAGAUGAAAUGCAGAAUUGUUGUGGUUGGAUAAUACAAUCAGCAUUCAUCACAAGCUAAUAACAAUGAUUUUGAACAUCUUAAUCGGAGAUCACACCACUCUGUGCAGUAUGAAAUAAGAUGUCUGGAUCACUACAAAGGAUUUGACUGGUCCUUGUGCUGAUAGCCUGCAGGAGAUUUUAAUAUUCUGAAGUCACACCAGAUGGGCAAUCUGCUGCAGUAUACCUUGGCUCAGCUUUAACCUGCAAGGGUUUGAUGUCUGAUGUCACCUCAAGGGAAAAAACAAUAAACAGCUGCGCUAAUGACAUUUUUUAAUCUCUCUACUCUUGAUUUACCUGAUGCAAUAGUCAUCUUAGGAUAACAGUAGAAAGGUACAGACCCUCUACAACACCUUGGCAUAAAAAUGCACUCAGAGAUCAGAAAUGGAACUAGAAAAAAAACAGUAACUAUUAUUUAACUGCUCUAUGCAUGGCUUCUAAUCCUAUAUGGAAAGAAAAAAAAAAAAAAAAAAACUUCUUGUUGCAAUAUAGAUUUGGAAGACCAUACAGAUAUAGGAAAAAUGGCAGAGGAACGACAAUUUUAAAAUGAGUAUUGUAAAACCAUACAGAUAAGAUUUUGAUUAAUUUUUAUAGCUGAGAGAAAUGUAGUCGGUUUUCUGAAUCAAUGGAGUUAUUUAUUCUGGGAAUGAGUAGAUAGCAGUACCAGCCCUCCCCUACUCCAAUAUUUUGCUGGAUAAAUUAUUUCAUAGAAUAUUCCAUGGAAACAAGCUGAGUCAAUAUGACUUUUGUAGCCCUUGAUUACAGACCCCAGAAUUGGUCUUUUGUGCUUUUUGAUAGCAGACAACUCAG